rnacentral:rRNA from 1 species
UACGGAGGGUGCAAGCGUUAAUCGGAAUUACUGGGCGUAAAGCGUGCGCAGGCGGUUUGUUAAGUCCGUUGUGAAAGCCCCGAGCUCAACUUGGGAAUUGCAGUGGAUACUGGCAGGCUGGAGUACGGUAGAGGAAGGUGGAAUUCCCGGUGUAGCAGUGAAAUGCGUAGAGAUCGGGAGGAACAUCAGUGGCGAAGGCGGCCAUCUGGGACAACACUGACGCUGAAGCACGAAAGCGUGGGGAGCAAACAGG